rnacentral:tRNA from 1 species
GGAUGGGUUCCCGAGUGGCCAAAGGGGGCAGACUGUAAAUCUGUUGUCGACGACUUCGAAGGUUCGAAUCCUUCCCCAUCCA